AGCCUAAGUGAGCCUCUGCUGCUCCGUGUGUUCGCACGGGCCUUGCCGGGUUCUAAAUAUGAAGCGCUGAUUGCGCUGUGUCCCGUGCUUUCUUCACCCGUACUUCCUAUUGUCCCUGCGUCGGGAACCUUUUGGGUGAGUGGGAAAGCUAUGAGAAAUUCUGCGCUAAGCUGGUGCAGAAAUUGUGUGGCAGCAUGGAAACAGCUUGGGCUCAGUGAUGCCCUUCUUAGUGGGGGGAAUGGUGUGCUCGUGUGAGCUCCAGGCAGGGGCUGCUGCUGGUGGAGGUGUGGCAGAGCCCGGAGGAGGCACAAACACACACCUCUUGUUUGACUUGAGCACUGAUCCUACAGCAAUUAAGGGAUGGAUAUCAGUAAUUUUGUAGGCGGGUGUCCGUUAGGAGAAGGGGAUUUAAAAAAAAUAAAUAAAUAAAAAUCAAAGUUUUGGCACAUCUUAAUUAACUUGUCAGUCUAGUUAACAGAUAACCAAACCUGCAGGAACUCUGCAGAGCUGAAACAACAACACUUAACGAGAACUUACUGUGGGAUUGCAGCUGACUUGAAAAUGUAGCCCAGAGAGAACAGAAGACAAAGCUGAUAAGAAGGUGGAAGGAUUGCAACAGCCUGCGAAGCCAUCUGCUCUAACAAACGUUCGUGGCAAAAUGAGGGACGGAUGUAUCUAGCAGCAAGCAGCAGCAGCUGUUUGAGAGGCAAAGCCAAAAGAAGGGCAGUAUCUCCUGUGCUCUGGUUUGACUCCAUUUACCGUUAAGCUGAGAUAACUUGCUGCCAAAGUCUCAAGUAGCAGGCCAUCCAGCCUAGCAAAACACAGAGGCCCCAAACAAAAGGCCAAAAUCUCAAGUGCCUGCAUGCUGCCACCUGAGAAGACAUUUUCUAAGAUCUCCAUGCUGCACCAGCCCUGCCUGAUGAAGUUCAGAGUGAACUUGCAGGAAGAAUCUGGCACCUUUUCUAUAGGUGUGUUUAAAGUAAUUGAAGACAGCAAUUGCAUAAUCCCUCAGCCUUUCCUUCCCCACGCUUGGACAAGCCCAGUUCUCACCCCCGAGGCAGUGCAUGCCAUCAGCUUGACUUUCACCAUAACACUGUGUAAGGAACUUGCAGAUACUGUUUCGUUGAACCAUAUAUGAGGAACCCUUCUGAUACCCACAGGUAGGUCUGUGGUUGCAGGAACUUCUUACCUUAACAGCCAUCUACAGGACAGCAGUUCUGCAAGGGGAGGGUUACCCUCUGUGAGUUGGGUCUGAUUUCAUUCCAGUGCACAGAGAGUUAACAUCUUUUGUGAGCUAUUAGGUAUAUAUAAGAGGAAGUAAAGCACCAGCAUUUGUAAUCAGUUAUUUUGAAUGCCAUUCGUUCCCAGUGGACAUUCCUGAAAGGCAGUUCUUGCCAGCAUGUCAACUGGAUGCCUUUUCUCUGAAAUGCUGGAGUUCCCCCCAGCCUUUGCCAAACAAGCCUUUACGACCUGGAAAGUCCCCAGCAUGGGGUGUGCUGGGGUGAGACCUUGGUG